CGGACGGGGGAGUAAUGUCUGGGAAACUGCCCGAUGGAGGGGGAUAACUACUGGAAACGGUAGCUAUACCGCAUAACGUCGCAAGACCAAGAGGGGACCUUCGGGCCUCUUGCCAUCGGAUGUGCCCAGAUGGGAUUAGCUAGUAGGUGGGGUAACGGCUCACCUAGGCGACGAUCCCUAGCUGGUCUGAGAGGAUGACCAGCCACACUGGAACUGAGACACGGUCCAG
rnacentral:rRNA from 1 species